rnacentral:rRNA from 1 species
GACGAACGCUGGCGGCGUGCUUAACACAUGCAAGUCGAACGGUGAACCUCUUCGGAGGGGAUCAGUGGCGAACGGGUGAGUAACACGUGGGCAACCUGCCCCCGGCUCUGGGAUAACUCCAAGAAAUUGGGGCUAAUACCGGAUGUUCACCGCUUCCCGCAUGGGUGGUGGUGGAAAGGGUUUCCGGCUGGGGAUGGGCCCGCGGCCUAUCAGCUUGUUGGUGGGGUAGUGGCCUACCAAGGCGACGACGGGUAGCCGGCCUGAGAGGGUGACCGGCCACACUGGGACUGAGACACGGCCCAGACUCCUACGGGAGGCAGCAGUGGGGAAUAUUGCGCAAUGGGCGGAAGCCUUACGCAGCGACGCCGCGUGGGGGAUGACGGCCUUCGGGUUGUAAACCUCUUUCAGCAGGGACGAAGCGCAAGUGACGGUACCUGCAGAAGAAGCACCGGCCAACUACGUG